rnacentral:lncRNA from 1 species
GGGGGGGGGGGACACGGACGGACGGACUGAGCGGCGCCCGUCUUCCGAUUGGGCCGAACCGGCGGACAUUCCUGCCCACUUCAGCCUUUCCGGCUUUCUCAUUGGGCGGCGCCGCGGGGGACGGUGGGCAACCCCGACCCCACCCCGCCUCGGCGGGCCAGUGGGAAAAUGGUUGCUGGGCAGGUUGAAAGGGUUGCUGGCCAAUGGGAAGGCGGCCAGCUGGCGGGCGCGGUGCACGCAGCGCUCUCCCCCCCCCUCCCCGUCCGCUGCUGUGGGUGCCGCGGGCGGAGGGAAGGGCGGAGCGGAGGCUGCCGGGGCCCGGCGGGGGUGGCGCUCGCCUCCGCCUCCUCCUCCUCCUCCCUCCCGGUCGGAGUCCCAGCCCCGCCGAAGGGAGCCCGGCCGGCUGGCUUAGGGAGGGCACGGCUGCGCGAAGGAACGGGGUUGGGGGGGGGCUUUCCUCCGCUCCCAGCAAAGAUUCUUUAGUUGAGACAGUUGACUGCAAUAUGGAAGACACCGUGAACGUUGAAAUUAACGCUGUAAUCUCAAAAAUUUCUGAAGCAACCCGUAAACAGGGUUUUGAUGAAAACGAUGAAUAUGGUAUGCAGUCGUAG